rnacentral:rRNA from 1 species
GUGGGGAAUCUUGCACAAUGGGCGAAAGCCUGAUGCAGCCAUGCCGCGUGAAUGAUGAAGGCCUUAGGGUUGUAAAAUUCUUUCGUCAGGGAUGAUAAUGACCGUACCUGAAGAAGAAGCCCCGGCUAACUUCGUGCCAGCAGCCGCGGUAAUACGAAGGGGGCUAGCGUUGUUCGGAAUUACUGGGCGUAAAGCGCACGUAGGCGGACUUUUAAGUCAGGUGUGAAAUCCCGGGGCUCAACCUCGGAACUGAAUUUGAAACUGGAAGUCUUGAGAUCAGGAGAGGUUAGCGGAAUACCGAGUGUAGAGGUGAAAUUCGUAGAUAUUCGGUGGAACACCAGUGGCGAAGGCGGCUAACUGGACUGAUACUGACGCUGAGGUGCGAAAGUGUGGGGAGCAAACAGGAUUAGAUACCCCAGUAGUCC